rnacentral:piRNA from 1 species
UCCAGUGUCGUCCUCGUGCGGGG